rnacentral:sRNA from 2 species
GUGUCUGAAACCUGACGAGGAUGAGAACCUCCGGGGGCAAGAGGUUCGACCCGAGCGAAGCGAGAGAACGUUGCGUCAGCAACGGCCCGCAGUGGCAAGUCAUCCUCUGUCACCGGCAG